rnacentral:rRNA from 1 species
UACGAAGGGGGCUAGCGUUGUUCGGAUUUACUGGGCGUAAAGCGCACGUAGGCGGAUUGUUAAGUCAGGGGUGAAAUCCUGGGGCUCAACUCCAGAACUGCCUUUGAUACUGGCAAUCUCGAGUCCGGAAGAGGUAAGUGGAACUCCUAGUGUAGAGGUGGAAUUCGUAGAUAUUAGGAAGAACACCAGUGGCGAAGGCGGCUUACUGGUCCGGAACUGACGCUGAGGUGCGAAAGCGUGGGGAGCAAACAGG